CUCUCGCCCCGUCGCGUUUAUCGAGGAGACAGGUGAAAACUGAGGUUUAGAGAGGGUAAAUAACUUGCCCAAAAUCUGGAAAAGUUUGCCAACCCCUGGUCUUACUCCUCAUUAAGACUGUUUUGCAGGCCUAAGACUUAUGCAGAGGUGGCGCCCGCCCGUAAUCCCAGCACUUCGGGAGGCCGAGACGGGCGGAUCGCUUGAGACCAGCCAGGAUAACAUGGCGAAACCACAUCUCUACAACAAAUACAAAAAUUAGCUGGGCGCGGUGGCACACGACUGUGGUUCCAGUUACUCGGCAGGCGGAGGUGGAAGGAUCCCUUGAGCCUCUGGAGGUGGAGGUUGCAGUGAGCUGUGAUUGCGCCACUGCACUCCAGCCUGGGCGACAGAGUGAGACCCUGUCAGAAAACAAAACAAAACAAAAGAAUUCUGUAAGAACUUCUAACAGGUACAUUCCUGUAAGCAUUACCCACCACUGGACUAGGCACUGGGUAGCCUGUAAAAUACAGUAAGAGCCGUCUCUGCACCCAGAAAAUUUACCAUCAUUUUGUGCUGGAAAGACAUGCCCUAGAAAACAAUAAACAGCACGACUGUACAUGAUUCCAUGCCAAAUGACUGCUAGGAAUUAUUUUAUUAAUCCAUUCAACAAAUACUUAUUGAGUAACCACUAUUAGCCAGCCACCGUUUUCCGUGUGAGGACAUAAAAAUGAGUGAGACAAGGUCUCUGCCAUCAAAAAACGAACAGAUCAGUGAGGAAAGACGGAUGUGUCAAGAAAGGCUUUGCAGGUCGAGCGCGGUGAAUCACGCUUGUAAUCCCAGCACACUGGGAGGCAGAGGCAGGCGGAUCAUUUGAGGUCAGGCGCUCGAGACCACCCUGGCCAACAUGGCGAAACUCCAUCUCUACUAAAAAUACAAAAAUUAUCCGGGCAUGGUGGUGCAGGCUUGUAAUCUCAGCUACUCAGGAGGCUGAGGCAGGAGAAUCAUUUGAACCCAGGAGGCAGAGGUUGCAGUGAGCCAUGAUCAUGCCACUGCACUCCAGCCUGGGUGAGCGAGACUCCAUCUCAAAAAAAAAAAAAAAAAAAAAAAAGAGGGAGAGAAAGACUUUACAGAGCUGGUAACACUUAUCCUGGCCUGGAAAGAAAGAAAGAAAGCUUCCUAUGACGCCCUCUGGAUAAAACUUA
rnacentral:lncRNA from 1 species